rnacentral:lncRNA from 1 species
CCUGAUUUUUGUCAAGCGUUUCUUAGAUGUUUUGUUUAAUUCCAGCUUCGUGGCCCCCUAUUUCUUGUCUACCCAUUUUCUAAGGCAGGACCGUGCUCACCACAGCAAAGGGAAAUAACUCCUUGAAAAGCCAAAGGAAUACAAGCCACCACUUCUCAGACCUUUCCCCUAUGAGAUCCAGAUACUACAGGCUAAAGGGAGUUUGAACCUGAAAUGAGCCAGAUAAUUGCCCCAAUUCUCUGUACCUUAUUGAAGAGGUAGUUACAGGCCAAGGGGUCCAAGGGGCCUCACUUUUAUAGACAUUGCUCUAAGUCAAAAGAAUACAUUAUACAUAUACAGCUGAGACACACACCCUCCGUCCUAGGCUGGCUCUCUGUGAACAAAGCAGGUUUCCUCCUUGCCACUCACCCCCACCCCCCAUACCACUUUCCCCCUCCUCUUUUCUCUUCGUCCUCCUCCUUAUUAUUAAUAGUUACUAUUUACUAAAUGCUGCCUGUGCACCUGGUAUUGUGCUAAAUGCUAGACACAUAGUACAUCAUAGUACAUUAAUUAAUCCUUACAUCAACUUUAAGAGUUAAGACACCAGAUUUUACAGAUGCAGAUACUAAGAGUUACUUUUCAAGCAUGAAGCACGUGUGUGUGUGUGUGUAUGUGUGUAUGUGAGAGAGAGAGAGAGAGAUACAGGCAGAUCUGAGUGCUCAAGUGUUAUAAAGAUAGAAAUAAAGAAAAUUGAGAAUGCGGAGAUCUUAAAGUUUUGAAAUAUAGAUGCUUUAAAAGGAUGCAGAUAAUUCCUCCUGCCCUAAAGUGAACAAAGAAGUGAGGCAAUUAACUGGCUAAUUCCAAGACCCAAAUGCUUUCCCUUGAAAUGGGCAGAUAAUGAGGCUGACAGUAUGUUCGCAGUUGAAUUCGCCUGAUGUUGCUCCAUUUUUUUCCCUAACUUUAGCGAAUCCGUUGGGCAAUCACAGUGAGAUGCACAGACGUCACCCCAGACGUGCACAUAUUCACACACACACUCACACACAGGAAUGCUGACACAUACAGACCCGACUUUAUUCUGCCUCUACAGUCUUUUAUGACUCAGCCUCCAGAAUGAAAAUAGGGGUUGGAGCGAAAUAAUGUGUCCGAGGGUGCAGCUGCUCCAGAUGUGCGCUGGGUAAUUAGGCAUCCUCAAGAGCUCCUGCCCGGCUGGGAAAUGCACCUCUUGUGGGACUGUAGACCCCAGCAGGCGCCCCAUCAUAGUCUGCCCCAUAGUAGGUGCCUGUCCUUUGCUGCCUGGUCCCAGCAGCCCGUCCCUCCUCUUGUUGCCUUCCUCCUCCGCAGGUGAUUCUCUGGCUCCUCUGUUUUAGGAAUAACUUUGCAGAAAUGUCUCUCAGAGGGCUCUGCAGUAUAAAAUGGCAUCUCUGCCACAGGGGAAGGGGAAGAGGGACCCUGGUUUCUCCUAUCCUGCUCUUCCUAGGCCCUGGACGUUUCUGAGGGGCUCAUUCCAGAACAAGACCUCUCUUUCCUUGCUCCACAAGAAUUUAACAAAGAGGCCCUAUUUGGGCCAAGAAGGAGAGUGGCCUGACUGGCCCUAACCCCCCUCGUUUGGGGGCUGUGGAGCAGUCCUGCUGCUGGCAGCUUCUCUUAGUUGUUGAGUCUCUUUCACAAAGCAUUCACACUUCACAACUUCCCUUUCCAGUAGGUCUUCAUCUGGGCACCUCGGGGCCUAAGGCACUUGGCCAGGGUCAUGCAGCUAGGGACGUCAUAAGUGAGGAGUUGGCAUUUCUUGGAAGAGGGGGCUGGAUUUGCCCUGGCUUUGAAUCCUGUACUGGCUGUCCCUAUAUCCGCCUCUAGUUUUCUUAUGGGCCUCCCCAAAUUUGAAACCCAAGAAACGCCAAACUUCCAACAUAGAAAACACCAAAAAGCUGCCUUUCUGGAGAUGAAUUUUGCUUACAAGAAAGACACGUUUGGAGGGGGUGAAUGGUCGUGGUAAUUUGGGGUAAAGAACAUUCCACUUGGAAUAGAGGGCUCCUCCUCCAGCCCUGCUUCACCACUUUUAAUAGCUGCUCCGAUCUUGGGCUAAUCACUUAAUUCCUUCGGACCUCAGUGUCUUCUUUUGCAAGCUGGGGGAGGGGUUUAAAGAUGCUGGCGCUGCCCUCUAGCCGGCUGCUGGGGACAUCAAAGGAGAUUCGGGCUGUGGAAGGCUCCCUAGCGUCGGAGAUGGAGUUAGGAGAGGGCGCCAAAGGCGACGUGCCGGCCGCCAGCUCCAGGCCGAGCCCCGAGCGCCUGCAGGAACACGCCCCUUCACCCGGCGCGGGACGCAGAGCUGCGAGAGAAUCUUGUUCAGCGCGGACUCAACGCCAGGGCGCCGCCUAGAGGUUGGUCUCUGUCUCGGCCUCACCCGCCGGGAGACCACAGAGCUGCUUCCCCAGCCGCCCGCCGCCAGAAAUUGGAAAAAAAAAAAAAAAAAAAAAAAAAAUCCAGCUGGGGUCUAGGAACUCGGCUUCUGGCACCUCUGAAUUCUCCGAGACUGUCUCCUCCCUCCCCGCCUGUAAUGAACCCUGUGAAGGGAGACAGGCCAGGAAGUCCCAGAAAUAUUUAUUCUUGUGACUCUCACAAAAUGGAAAAGGGUCUCAAUUUUUGUUUCUUUAAGGAACUUGUGUUCUGCGUCUGUGUCUACACUGCCUCCUCUCACCAACCAAAUUGUCUAGCCCCCCUCCAGUUACGCUAGAACUCUGCUUUAUCUUCAAGGAAGAAAGGGAGUGGGGAGAAGUUACCUCUAAACCCUCCAGCAUGGCCAUCAAUUUUCUGAAUAAUUUGGAGGUCAACAUGCUUUUGGAAAAGUGUUUGGAAAACGUUUGGGGGUGAAAAGAAAUGUUGCCUAACUGGCCUUUACUCACGGAGUGACCAUCAUCUCAGCUAGUUAGUGUAUGAGCGGCACCAGCACCCCGGCCAUGGGUGUCUGUGCUGAGCCUCUGAAAGUUGACUUAUCCUUUGGGGAGCCCUCGGAAAGACACAGCUGGUAUCUAUGGGAAUGGCUUUGGGGUGUCCUUUGGCACCAUACAGAUAAUUUUGUUUUUUUAAUUGGAAUCCAUGGCCUGGGUUCUUGGGAUGGGGGUAGGGGGAAGCCACAAAGCCCCUGGAAAUGUAUGCAAAACAUAUGGGUGUGCAGGUGCAUCAUCCUAAGGCUAUGGCCUCUUCAGUUUUUCCAAAGAGUCUAAGACUAUAAAAGGUUUCCAUCUCCUUUUCUCAGCCAGGGAGCCACAGAGACCCAGGCCAGCAGUAGGCUGGGAGCCAGCACACCGGCCCCCACCAGGUGCCCGGUAGGGGAUGGGUAAUAACACUCUUGAAUGGUCUGGAAACUGCUGGCCCCUCAGUCCUGCCGUCCUCCCAGAGGGAAAUCCUAAUAGAAGAAGUGACAGCCAGUAGCUGCCAUCUCAGUAUUUUGAAUGAAAAUAUAACAUGAUAAAGAGCAAAUGAGGGAGGCUGGAGGGGCCUCCCCAUGCAAAUACUGGAAUAUGAAUGUUGGCCAGAAAUAAGAUACUUCCUGCCCUCCAGCUGUUAAAGAGCUCCCCAAUUCCUCCCUUUUGGUGCUAGGAAGGGGCCAGAGGGCACUGCCCCCAGACCACCACCCACCUCUGGAGAGCUGGGGCCGAGUGGGACUGCCUGCAGCAGAGUUAACCCUUCAGAAAAUUCAAAACCUAUACUGCCUAGUAUUUUCCCUGCCCGUUUAUUUUUUAAUCAGAUUUUUAAAAUAUCCAGCAGCACUUUGGUGCCUUUUCUUGGGGUUGGGGAGUGGGGUUAUCUAUGUGUGUAUCUAUGGGAAGGUGGGUGCCUUCAGUGCACUAAACCCCCUCUUGGGCCUGCAGCUGGACCUCACUCCUGUACCUGAACACUCUGCCUGAGCCUGAGCUAAUCUUAGCCAUCCAUUGUGUCUCAAAACUGUUUUGGAGGUGAAUAACUGUGAGGCAGGAUGGAGAACCUUUUGCUCUCCCAUCCAGAAGGGCACCUAACCAGGCCCCUGGAGCAGACAAAAGGAGCAGGAAGUCAAUCACUUCGAUCCCAGUUCUCUGAAGCCCAAGAAGAAAACGGAUUUUCCUUCGUUUUGGUUCGGAGGCCUAGUAGAGAAUUUGGAUUCCACCAAGUUCUCUUUUUUCAAAAAAAGUAAACGGUCCAGAGCAGACAAAAACUGUGGAAACUUGA